rnacentral:rRNA from 1 species
GACGAACGCUGGCGGCGUGCCUAAUACAUGCAAGUCGAACGAGAGCGACCGGUGCUUGCACUGGUCAAUCUAGUGGCGAACGGGUGAGUAACACGUGGGUAACCUGCCCAUCAGAGGGGGAUAACAUCCGGAAACGGAUGCUAAAACCGCAUAGGUCUUCGAGCCGCAUGGCUUGAAGAGGAAAAGAGGCGCAAGCUUCUGCUGAUGGAUGGACCCGCGGUGCAUUAGCUAGUUGGUGAGGUAACGGCUCACCAAGGCCGUGAUGCAUAGCCGACCUGAGAGGGUGAUCGGCCACAUUGGGACUGAGACACGGCCCAAACUCCUACGGGAGGCAGCAGUAGGGAAUCUUCCGCAAUGGACGCAAGUCUCACGGAGCAACGCCGCGUGAGUGAAGAAGGUUUUCGGAUCGUAAAACUCUGUUGUUAGAGAAGAACAAGUGCUAGAGUAACUGUUAGCGCCUUAACGGUAUCUAACCAGAAAGCCACGGCUAACUACGUG